CUUAUUGGCUCCCGGAUGUCGCAGCACACAGAGUCUUUUUCACCGCGCUUUUCAUGUAGUGCCGGAAACGCUAGGUGGCGGGUCUCGGCUUCGCUCUGAAGUGGCCACGUUGCGGAGCCGCCAUUGCUGGCUGCUUCUCCAAGCGAACAAGAGAGUUGGGCCAGAGAAACCCCGAAAACCGAUUGCAGAGACACUCGCCCUCAUCGUGCGCAGCGGGCCGGAGGUGGCGCUGCGGCAUGACUCCCGGGUUCCGCGCCGACACUCCUCCCUCGUACCGGUUUGGGAACAUGAAAGGGAAUACCAUUUACAAAUGAGGAAACAGCUCAUGGUUUACAUGACUCGACCCUGGUCACACAGGCUGCGGGACGGGUAUUGAUCGUUCCUAUCAUCUGCCUUCGGAAAGAAAAUACUGAAAGAGCAAGGGAUGGUCUUGACUUUUUCCCCCGCAACUGCGGAGCUGCUGGGACCGGAAACAGAUCUCCCGACUUGGAGCUGUCUUCUGAAGUUAAGGAAAGAAUGCCCCCUCCUCCGCUUCCCCGCACUUUAUGUCGGCAACUGGGGUGGGAAAAUUCUGGUUUCCAAGCUUUGUUGGACUCAAGAAGAAGAAGAAGGCAGGGGGUUAUCCAGUCCCCAGGCCCCUGACAUUUAUUUGCUGUUUCAGGCCCAGCAUGGAAGCUCAGGGUGCCAAGACGGCCAACUUAGUCAAUUAACCAAUAGCUUUUGAACUGUUUAUCAGGAUUUGUAUUAUGAAAGGUUUCUAUUUCAACACAAAUUCUCAUACCUGUUUAGUUAGAUCAUGAAUAAGCUUUUUCCUUUCCUUGGAACUUGAAAUUUAGUUUGUUCAUAUGCAUUAUUAUAUCAGUGAGAAAACAAAUUACACUGCCUUGUUUUGUUUUUGAUUAAAAUACUUGUCAGCUGUAGGAGUGGAAAAAUGUGCUCCCUUUCCUCAUUCAUAAGAAUCAUAAGGGACACUCCUAUAACAAAAUAUAGGUUGACAAGAGAAAAAAGCGUAACAAAUUUACUUAAACUUUUAUGUGACAAGGGAGCCUUCAGAAAUGGAAGAUCUAAAGACCCAGGGAAAACUGUCCAUUUUUAUGUUUAGGUUUGAUGAAGAAUGGACAGCUGUAUAGAAAUGCGAUUGCACAAAAGGGUAUAAUCUAGUGACAAUAGACCGGGGAAAAACCCAACAAAGCCUGUCCAGAUUCUUUUUGGCCUCCCUAUGUAGCAUUCCUUUCUUCUGGGUAUAGGGCAGGACCCCUUCCGGAAUGAGGGACUUAUUACCUGUAAUCAGGCGAGGUAAGUCAGAGAAUUUCUUUAGGACCAGCUCUUACACAGAAACAUGGAGUAAUAUUUCUAGGUUUAUGGCUGGUUUGGGGGUAAGAGGGGUCCUGGUUUCCAUGAUGCUAUCAACCAAAGUAAAUUGACCACCUGGUUGACAUAUAAGAUUUUUGUUUUGUUUUGUUUUGCUUUUGCGGGGCACCUGGCUGGUUCAGGGAUCUGAAUCCCUGGCCUUGGUUUUAUAACACUGCGUUCUAACCAACCGGCCAGUCUCUCUGGUUGAGAUAUAGAACAAACCGGGUUUAUUUGAGAACUCACUAGGACUGCAGCCCGAAAGACACAGAUACAAGAGGCCUUGAACAUGUGCUCUGCAGAUCAAAGAGAAGUCAGGGUAUUUAAAGGAAGAAGAUGGGUGCAGUUACAAAAGCUAUAAUUGGCCCUGCCCUGUCCAUAAGAGAUUGGCUGAAACAGUUCUUAGAUGCAGGGUUUGGCAGGAAACUUAUGGUUUGGCAGGAAAUAUCGAAAAGUAGCAAACAGCAGUCUCCUGGGCACUCAUCCCUUCAGGAGGUUCUGACCUUUGUGAUGGUGCUGAGUGCAAAGUUCCAGAAUAUUCUCAGUUAAGACAUACCUGAAGUUCAAGCUAAGAUUGCCACCCAACUCUAUUUUAGGUGCCUUGAUCAAAUUUUUCUUGAUCAAUGUACCUUGGGGAAGAGGAAUUCUAGUUUCUAUGGCUUGGCUUGGGGGAGAAAGAGAGGCCAGAGACACGGUCAGGAGAAGGUCAGAGAGAGACUUUGCUUCUGAGGACUUCCAAUAUUCUUUAGUUCAAAGUACUCAGCAUGCCAAAGUGCCGUACAGUGGGUAUCGUUUUCUGAGCCCAACACAACCGUUCCUUUCGUUCCAAGAAAAUCUUGGGGUUAACAGUACAAUAAAUCUUUGUAAAGGUCUUCUAUAUGACUCAACCAACAAACGUUGGCAAAGAGCACAAGAUCAUGAAAUUUAUUGUCUUCUAUUUCUUUGAACAGUUCCAUAAACUGACAAUCAUUCAUAACAUUUGCAAGUAUAUACUGAGCAAGUUUUUAACAGCUUUAUUGAGAUUUAUUGAGAUUUAAUACACAUACAAUUCACCAUUUUUUUUUUCUUUUUUGCAGCUGGCCCAUUCAGGGAUCUGAACCCAUGACCUUACUGUUAUAAGGCUGCACUCUAACCAACUGAGCUAACCUACCAGCCCCGACUUCCUAUUUAGAAGAUAUAAUUAAGGGCUGGCCAGUUAGCUCUGUUGGUUAGUACACUUAGAUCAUGGUGUUAUAACACCAAUGUCAAGGGUUCAGAUCCCCAUAGUGGCCAGCUGAUACAAUUUGAUGGUUUAUAAUAUAUUCACAGAGUUAUGUAAAUAUCACCAUAAUGAAUUUUAGAACAUUUUUAUCACUCCAAAAGAAACCAGCAUCUAUUAGUAGUCACAGGCCCUUUUUCCCAAACCCCUCCACCCCCAGCCCUAGACAACCACUAAUCUACUUUGUGCCCAUAUAGAUUUGCCUGUUCUGGACAACUUAUUAAUAUGGAAUUAUGCAAUCUGUAGUCUUUUGUGACUGGCUACUUUUACUUAGCAUAAUGUUUUCAAGGUUCAUACAUAUUGUAGCAUAUAUAAGUACUUUAUUCCUUUUUAUUGCUGAGUAAUAUUUCAUUGAAUGGAUAUAUCACUUUUUGUGUAUCCAUUCAUCAAUUGAUGGACAUUUGGGUUGUUUCCACUUUUUGGCUAUUAUGAAUAGGGCUGUUGUAGACAUUUGUAUACAAGUGCUUGUGGAAAUAUAUGUUUUCAUUUCUUUUGGGUAUAUACUUAGGAGUGAAUUUUCUGGUUCAAUGGUAACUCUAUGUUUAACCAUUUGAGGAACUGCCAGACUGUUUCCAAAUGGCUGUAACAUUUUUCAUUUCCACCAGCCAUAAAAAGGUUCCAAUAUUUUCACAUCCUUGCCAAUAUUUAUAAUCUGUCUUCUUAAAUUCUUAGACAAAAACAUAAAGGUAAGAUUUUAUGAACCCGUAUUAGACAACAGUUUCUAUGACACCUAAAGCACAAGCAACUAAAGAAAAAAUAAAUUGUGGUUCAUCAAAAUUAAAAACUUUCAUGCUUUGAAAUGAUACCAUCAAGGAAGCGAAAAGACAACCCACAGAAUAAGGGUCUUAUAAGUGAGUAUAAGUAGUAAGUAGUGAGUAUAAGUAGUGUCUUAUUGAGGUUUUGAUUUGUAUUUCCUUAAUGGCUAAUGAUGUUGAACAUCUUUUCAUGUUCUUAUGGACCAUUUGUAUAUCCUUGAAGAGAUAUCUAUUCAGAUCAUUUGUCCAUUUUUUAAUUGGGUUGUCUUUUUAUUAUUGGUUGCAGGAAUUCUUUACAUAUUCUGGAUACAAGUUCCUUAUUAGAUAUAUGAUUUGCAAGUAUUUUUUAUUAUUCUGUGGGUUGUCUUUUCACUUGCUUGAUGGUGUCAUUUGAAGCAUGAACAUUUUUAAUUUUGAUGAGGUACAAUUUAUCUGUUCUUUCUUUAGUUGCUUGUGGUUUAGGUGUCAUAGUUAAGAAACUGCUGUCUAAUACAGGUUCAUAAAAAUUUACCUUUAUGUUUUUGUCUAAGAAUUUAGCUCUUACAUUCAGGUUUUUGAUUCAUUUUGAAUUAAUUUCUGUGUAUGGUGUGAUGUAGACAGACACCUUCAUUUCUUUGCAUGUGGAUAUCCAGUUGUCCAGCACCAUUUGUUGAAAAAACUAUUCUUUCCCAUUGAAUGUCUUGGCAUCUCUUUUGGAAAUCAAUUGACCAAAAAUGUACAAGUUUAUUUCUGAACUCUCAAUUCUGUUACAUUGAUCUAUAUGUCUAUCUUUAUGCCAGUACCAUACUAUCUUGAUUACUGUAGCUUAGUAAUAAGUUUUGGAUUUGGGAAGUGUAAAGUCUCCAAUUUUGUUAUUUUUUCAAGAUUAUUUAGAUAUCCCGGGUUCCUUGCAUUUCCCUAUAAACUUUAGGAUUAACUUGUCAAUUUCUGCCAAAAAAAAAAGCCAGCGGCAGUUUUGAUAGUGAUUGUAUUGAAUCUCUAGAUAAAUUUGGGGAGUAUUUCCAUGUUUCAAUAGUAAACCUUCCAAUCCAUGAACAUAAGAUGUCUUUUCAUUUGUUUAGGUCUUCUUUAAUU